rnacentral:lncRNA from 1 species
GGGCAGAAUGGAAUUUCCCUCCUGUCCAACACUGACCAAGGAGACUUUAUAUUUUUUCACUAGGUCCUUUUUAGGAUUAGAGACAGAUGCUAAAAGAUUUAUUUUGUUAGCCUGUUGGACCCAGAUAUUAGGACAAAUGUUAUAAAAAUUAGAAAUAUUAAAGAUAUAAGUAGGUCCUAGUUGCUGGAGACAAGUUAAAAAGGUCCUUAAAACCAGAGAACCGGUUAGGACAAGAAUUUUUGUAUAAACUGAAAGCCACUGUCACCGUCUUUGAGGAUUAGACUCAGUCAGAUUUAAAGAUAUCCAGAAAAAAUGUUGUGUCUUACCCUCUGUGAAAAGACUAUCUUCUUGCUGAAAAUACUGCUCCAAUCAAUGGACACCAUUGGGCUAUCUCUCAGAGUGACAGCAAAGACUUUUUGGGGGUACAGGCAGAAACCCAGGACUGGCCCUGGAUUUCUAUAAGUUCCUAUAAUUAAGUUCCUAUAAUUGUUCAACUAACCAGUUCAGCUACCCCUGGCCAAAUUAAACAAUACCCAAUGACCCUAGAAACAAAAAAAGAAA